AGUGAACGCUGGCGGUAGGCCUAACACAUGCAAGUCGAACGGCAGCACAGUAAGAGCUUGCUCUUACGGGUGGCGAGUGGCGGACGGGUGAGGAAUACAUCGGAAUCUACUUUUUCGUGGGGGAUAAGGUAGGGAAACUUACGCUAAUACCGCAUACGACCUACGGGUGAAAGCAGGGGAUCUUCGGACUUUGCGCGAUUGAAUGAGCCGAUGUCGGAUUAGCUAGUUGGCGGGGUAAAGGCCCACCAAGGCGACGAUCCGUAGCUGGUCUGAGAGGAUGAUCAGCCACACUGGAACUGAGACACGGUCCAGACUCCUACGGGAGGCAGCAGUGGGGAAUAUUGGACAAUGGGCGCAAGCCUGAUCCAGCCAUACCGCGUGGGUGAAGAAGGCCUUCGGGUUGUAAAGCCCUUUUGUUGGGAAAGAAAAGCAGCAGGUUAAUACCCCGCUGUUCUGACGGUACCCAAAGAAUAAGCACCGGCUAACUUCGUG
rnacentral:rRNA from 1 species